rnacentral:lncRNA from 1 species
CGUCUAGAGCAGUUUGCCGUCCCCGAGAUCCCUCACACUACACGGCUGCCACAGAUUUCUACAUACUAGUGUAGUAGUGUGGUAUAGAAGCACCGACUUCUAGAAUAUUACAAUAGUAUUAAAUAGAAGUAUGUGACAGCUGCCGCUGCUGUAGAUCAAAAGUGGGCGCUGAUAAGACGUGAUAACGCGUCGGACGAUAAAUAAAGAUAACGCGGUGUUGGAAAUCUCGAACGCGAUUCGCGUUCAUUAGAUUCAUAGCUGCUGUGGCCAUGAAAAAAUAGAUUUUGUAGAUUUUGUAAUGGCUGUGCCACACUCGCAGCGAACGUCCCUCACGGCUGCACGUCGAGGUGUCGAACAAGUAACAACUGUAAUAUAAUAUGCUUAAGUCCUGUGGAAAUCGCAGCGACGUCGAGCCUACGGUACGGCCAAUAUUUUUGGUGAUUUCGCAGUCGCCGACGAUAUGGAUCCGACGGCUAACAUUGGGCUUAAGCAUUCCCACGACCAAACACGUCAACAGAUAUAUAAUAUUAUGGUUUUGAGAUCAUUUACUUGUUGAGACUGUUAUCACUGUCCAUGGAAAUAAAGUCUAUGAUAUAGGGAAUAACUUAUUUUUGGGAGAAGAAUCUUUUCAAAUACUGGUCUAGACCAGUCUGAUACACAAAGUGAUUCCAGUGAAGAGGACAUGGACUUUACUACAAAUGGAAAACAGGCUCACCUUAUGAGUAGUAAUGCAUCAGUUACUAUUUAAAGUAGUAAUGUGAACAUAUUAUUGAAGUUCUUUGAUAAGGAGAUGGAAAAUGAGAAACAAUUGAAAGUGAAUAUGUAAAAUAUGUUAAAUAUAAAUGACCAUACCCAAAUACAGAAAUACAAGACAUUAGUGAAUUCUUCUCAUGUUUGGAGCCAAUGUUCAAAGAACUUCAUGGUUGAAGAAAUUCAUACAAUAACUCAAAGAAGAAAAUAAAUGGUUAUUAAAGUUCCCAUAAUUAGUCACUUUAAGAGCAGAUAUGAAGUAUGCCUGUGUAUAACUUACUUUGUCUACAGACUAAUAUUGAUUCAACGGGAAAAAAAUGAGUAUAGAUUGAUGGGUUGAAUCAUACAAAAGUCAGAUUUUACUCUUUUAAUUACAUUUUUGAAAUCCAUUAUCAAUAAAGUUAAAAAAAUGGGCUCAAUGAGUACUGAAACUCUCAAACUAAUUAAUCAGCACAAUAACCGAAUCAUGAACAUUUAUUGUGGGCCUCUUAAAUAUUUCAAAGAUGUUUUCCUCUGGAAAGAGUAUAUAACAUUCAAUGAAAUCUUGUUGUUAGCGACUGUUAUCAACAAUGCCUUGUUAUUACAUGGUUACAUUUCUGAUAUUCGCUGUAUGUUUUUGAAGUAAGACAAGAGAUGGCAGAUUUAAAAAAUAUCCAAAAUUCAUGAGAAAUGAAUAGAGUUAAUCUCAGGUGAUCCUGCUUUAAAUUGAUCUGUAACUAAAGCAGUUUUUGAACCGGCUGUUGAAAAUGUGAAAAAUGACACUGAUCUUAACUUCAAAAUACAUCAAGAAGCUCUAAAUAUAAUUUUUCUUUAGAUUCAUCAAAAUAAAUCUUAUAGUACUA